UCAACAGUAGGGGUGGUGUUUAUUCCUAUUUCUCUGGAUUCUUUUGGAAUAGGUUUAUCAAGUAUUAGAGCAGGAAUUUCAUAAUCCUUCUUAAAUUUUUCAAGAUCUUCAAUAUCAUUUUCUUCCCUUUGACCAUUUUUUUCGCAUAGGCCUUCGAUUUCUAAGUUGGACAACAAUUCCCCACGGAAUUUUUCUAUUUCUGCAUUUUUCAUUUUUGCUUUUGCAAACUCUUUUUUGAUCUAAAUGUUGUCGGGCUUCUAUGAUCAUAGCUGCCAGUAUCUCACCUCCAUUCUUUAAUUCCUCAUUAGCUCUUUGUAUUUUUUUUUCAUAGAUGUACCUUCCAGAGGCAUGAGCCAUUUCUUUUCUCUUAUAAAGUUGAACACGUAUAUCAUUUAUCUUUGCAUCCACGUAGAGCAAAUCAAAAAUACUUAAUCUCGAGACUUCCUGGACUUUAAGAGGCGAACCAAAAAUCUCAAUCCCCACUAUACUUACUUGAUUGAAUUCAUUUUUUUUAGAUAUUUGAUUCGAAGUAAAGGAUAUUUUUAUAAAGAUGCAAGUGCUUUGUCCAGACUUUUUAGUAUGUAGUACAACAUUGUGACAUAAACGAUAAUUACUCUCAAGUGGUAAGGUUAAACUUCCCACUUGCAUGAAAUAAGCUUCAUUCACAUCAGGGUUCAGGUCUUUGAAAUCCGGUACAUCUCCGAGAUAUAUCAUGAUAUAAGUAUAAGGUAUAUACUUGUGGAUAAAUGCAAUAGCGUUUAGAGGACCAUCCCUUCGACGUUGGAGUAGGUUGUGAUAUAUCCAUAUGAGAAAAGUCAUCUUCUCGACUUGAUACAAAGCAAAUUUUGUACGAUAAAUUCAUUUUAUGAAAUGAUGGACAUGAAGAUACAGGACCAAGAAUAAAUUAUAUUUUAUAUAGGUAUUUCUGUUUUUAUGGUGUUGCUAUGAAACCAAAUAUUUAUAACAAAAUAAAGUAGUAUGCGUUUAUAAAAUUCUAAUAGGCUGAGAAUAAGCAUGAAUAUUAAAUACAAAUCAUAAUUGAUA
rnacentral:lncRNA from 1 species